rnacentral:rRNA from 1 species
UUGAACGCUGGCGGCAUGCCUUACACAUGCAAGUCGAACGGUAGAGGGGCAACCCUUGAGAGUGGCGAACGGGUGAGUAAUAUAUCGGAACGUGCCCAGUCGUGGGGGAUAACGCAGCGAAAGCUGCGCUAAUACCGCAUACGAUCUAUGGAUGAAAGCGGGGGAUCGCAAAGACCUCGCGCGAUUGGAGCGGCCGAUAUCAGAUUAGGUAGUUGGUGGGGUAAA